ACGAACGCUGGCGGCGUGCUUAACCCCUGCAAGUCGCACGGAAAGGCCUCAGCUUGCUGGGGUACUCGAGUGGCGAACGGGUGAGUAACACGUGGGUGAUCUGCCUUGCACUCUGGGAUAAGCUUGGGAAACUGGGUCUAAUACCGGAUAUGAACUGCCUUUAGUGUGGUGGUUGGAAAGUUUUUUCGGUGCAAGAUGAGCUCGCGGCCUAUCAGCUUGUUGGUGGGGUAAUGGCCUACCAAGGCGUCGACGGGUAGCCGGCCUGAGAGGGUGUACGGCCACAUUGGGACUGAGAUACGGCCCAGACUCCGACGGGAGGCAGCAGUGGGGAAUAUUGCACAAUGGGCGGAAGCCUGAUGCAGCGACGCCGCGUGGGGGAUGACGGCCUUCGGGUUGUAAACUCCUUUCGACAGGGACGAAGCUUUUUGUGACGGUACCUGUAGAAGAAGCACCGGCUAACUACGUG
rnacentral:rRNA from 1 species